rnacentral:rRNA from 1 species
GACGAACGCUGGCGGCGUGCUUAACACAUGCAAGUCGGACGAUGAAACCGGAGCUUGCUCCGGUGGAUUAGUGGCGAACGGGUGAGUAACACGUGAGUAACCUGCCCUUGACUCUGGGAUAACUGCGGGAAACUGUAGCUAAUACCGGAUACGACCCUCGGAGGCAUCUCCUGGGGGUGGAAAGAAUUCCGGUCAAGGAUGGACUCGCGGCCUAUCAGCUAGUUGGUGAGGUAACGGCUCACCAAGGCGACGACGGGUAGCCGGCCUGAGAGGGUAACCGGCCAGACGGGGACUGAGACACGGCCCAGACUCCUACGGGAGGCAGCAGUGGGGAAUAUUGCACAAUGGGCGCAAGCCUGAUGCAGCAACGCCGCGUGAGGGAUGACGGCCUUCGGGUUGUAAACCUCUUUUAGCAGGGAAGAAGCGAAAGUGACGGUACCUGCAGAAAAAGCACCGGCUAACUACGUGCCAGCAGCCGCCGUAA